rnacentral:lncRNA from 1 species
AUGCUUACCAAGGAGGGGCUCUUGUCGGCUGUGGGAGGGGCAUCUGCUUCCCAUGGCUGAUGAGAAGAUUCAAUGCAGGCAGUAAUAAUGGCAAUUCUGGUUGUUUCUGUUUAUUGAAUGCUCACUAUCUGCCAGGCACUGCUCUCAACCAGUUAGUGUGUAUGACUUCAAUCAAUCGUCACAAAACCUGGAUUUGAUGUAGAAAGAGCUGCAGAAGGCAUCUCAUCCAUCAUUGGCAUACACAAGUGAUUUGGUCACAGAAUGCCCUGAAGACUAUAAAGCAUUGAACAGAAGCAGUCACCGUGAUUUUCAUGCUACUCUCUAGCCAUACACAUCAGUUUGCAAAUUCAAUCUUAUGAAAAGGAGUUUAUUUAUUCUCUAAGAAAAUGGAAUUGUGAUGUGGAUGAGGUGUCAUCUGAUGGUGGUUCUUCUGCUACAUGGUCCAGACUAUAAGGCAGAAUUACAUAAGGAUAUUUUAGGCACCUGAGACACAGUGACCAACAGAUGACGUCUACUAUGAUGGUGACAACGACAACAU